GGCCCAUAGCUCAGUGGUAGAGCAUCUGUUUUGCAUGCAGAAGAUCUGAGAUUCAAACCCUGGCAUCCCCA